CUACGGGCGGCUGCAGUGAGGAAUAUUGCACAAUGGGGGGAACCCUGAUGCAGCAACGCCGCGUGGAGGAUGACGCAUUUCGGUGUGUAAACUCCUUUUAUAUGUCAAGAAAAUGACGGUAGCAUAUGAAUAAGCACCGGCUAACUCCGUGCCAGCAGCCGCGGUAAUACGGAGGGUGCAAGCGUUACUCGGAAUCACUGGGCGUAAAGGACGCGUAGGCGGGUUGGAAAGUCAGGUGUGAAAUCCUACAGCUUAACUGUAGAACUGCACUUGAAACUUCUAAUCUAGAGUAUGGGAGGGGGAGAUGGAAUUAGUGGUGUAGGGGUAAAAUCCGUAGAUAUCACUAGGAAUACCUAAAGCGAAGGCGAUCUCCCGGAACAUUACUGACGCUAAGGCGUGAAAGCGUGGGGAGCAAACAGGAUUAGAUACCCCAAGUAGUC
rnacentral:rRNA from 1 species